GACGAACGCUGGCGGCGUGCUUAACACAUGCAAGUCGAACGGUAAGGCUCCAGCUUGCUGGGGUACACGAGUGGCGAACGGGUGAGUAACACGUGGGUGACCUGCCCUGCACUUCGGGAUAAGCCUGGGAAACUGGGUCUAAUACCGGAUAGGACCGCACCGUGAGGGUGUGGUGGAAAGUUUUUUCGGUGUGGGAUGGGCCCGCGGCCUAUCAGCUUGUUGGUGGGGUAAUGGCCUACCAAGGCGGCGACGGGUAGCCGGCCUGAGAGGGUGGACGGCCACAUUGGGACUGAGACACGGCCCAGACUCCUACGGGAGGCAGCAGUGGGGAAUAUUGCACAAUGGGCGGAAGCCUGAUGCAGCUACGCCGCGUGGGGGAUGACGGCCUUCGGGUUGUAAACUCCUUUCACCAUCGACGAAGGGUUUCUGACGGUAGAUGGAGAAGAAGCACCGGCUAACUACGUG
rnacentral:rRNA from 1 species